rnacentral:rRNA from 1 species
GACGAACGCUGGCGGCGUGCUUAACACAUGCAAGUCGAACGGAAAGGCCCCUUUGGGGGUACUCGAGUGGCGAACGGGUGAGUAACACGUGAGUAACCUGCCCUUUACUUCGGGAUAACUUCAGGAAACUGGGGCUAAUACCGGAUAGGAAUCCUUGCUGCAUGGUGGGGGUUGGAAAGCUUCGGCGGUUUUGGAUGGACUCGCGGCUUAUCAGCUUGUUGGUGGGGUAGUGGCUUACCAAGGCUUUGACGGGUAGCCGGCCUGAGAGGGCGACCGGCCACAUUGAGACUGAGAUACGGCCCAGACGCCUACGGGAGGCAGCAGUGGGGAAUAUUGCACAAUGGGCGGAAGCCUGAUGCAGCAACGCCGCGUGCGGGAUGACGGCCUUCGGGUUGUAAACCGCUUUCAGCAGGGGCGAAGCUUGUGGUGACGGUACCUGCAGAAGAAGCACCGGCUAACUACGUG